rnacentral:rRNA from 1 species
GGAAGGUCCCCCACAUUGGAACUGAGACACGGUCCAAACUCCUACGGGAGGCAGCAGUGAGGAAUAUUGGUCAAUGGACGAGAGUCUGAACCAGCCAAGUAGCGUGAAGGAUGAAGGUCCUACGGAUUGUAAACUUCUUUUAUAAGGGAAUAAAACCUCCCACGUGUGGGAGCUUGUAUGUACCUUAUGAAUAAGCAUCGGCUAACUCCGUGCCAGCAGCCGCGGUAAUACGGAGGAUGCGAGCGUUAUCCGGAUUUAUUGGGUUUAAAGGGAGCGCAGACGGGUCGUUAAGUCAGCUGUGAAAGUUUGGGGCUCAACCUUAAAAUUGCAGUUGAUACUGGCGUCCUUGAGUGCGGUUGAGGUGUGCGGAAUUCGUGGUGUAGCGGUGAAAUGCUUAGAUAUCACGAAGAACUCCGAUUGCGAAGGCAGCACACUAAGCCGUAACUGACGUUCAUGCUCGAAAGUGUGGGUAUCAAACAGGAUUAGAUACCCUGGUAGUCCACACGGUAAACGAUGGAUACUCGCUGUUGGCGAUAUACGGUCAGCGGCUUAGCGAAAGCGUUAAGUAUCCCACCUGGGGAGUACGCCGGCAACGGUGAAACUCAAAGGAAUUGACGGGGGCCCGCACAAGCGGAGGAACAUGUGGUUUAAUUCGAUGAUACGCGAGGAACCUUACCCGGGCUUAAAUUGCAAAGGAAUAAUCUGGAAACAGGUUAGUCUUCGGACCUUUGUGAAGGUGCUGCAUGGUUGUCGUCAGCUCGUGCCGUGAGGUGUCGGCUUAAGUGCCAUAACGAGCGCAACCCUCGCCGCCAGUUACUAACAGUUAAAGCUGAGGACUCUGGCGGGACUGCCAUCGUAAGAUGUGAGGAAGGUGGGGAUGACGUCAAAUCAGCACGGCCCUUACGUCCGGGGCUACACACGUGUUACAAUGGGGGGUACAGAGGGCCGCUACCACGCGAGUGGAUGCCAAUCCCCAAAACCUCUCUCAGUUCGGACUGGAGUCUGCAACCCGACUCCACGAAGCUGGAUUCGCUAGUAAUCGCGCAUCAGCCACGGCGCGGUGAAUACGUUCCCGGGCCUUGUACACACCGCCCGUCAAGCCAUGAAAGCCGGGGGUACCUGAAGUGCGUAACCGCAAGGAGCGCCCUAGGGUAAAACUGGUAAUUGGGGCUAAGUCGUAACAAGGUAGCCGUACCGGAAGGUGCGGCUG